GUGGGGAAUAUUGGACAAUGGGGGCAACCCUGAUCCAGCCAUGCCGCGUGUGUGAAGAAGGCCUUUUGGUUGUAAAGCACUUUAAGCAGUGAAGAAGACUCCAUGGUUAAUACCCAUGGACGAUGACAUUAGCUGCAGAAUAAGCACCGGCUAACUCUGUGCCAGCAGCCGCGGUAAUACAGAGGGUGCAAGCGUUAAUCGGAAUUACUGGGCGUAAAGCGAGCGUAGGUGGCUUGAUAAGUCAGAUGUGAAAGCCCCGGGCUUAACCUGGGAACGGCAUCUGAUACUGUUAGGCUAGAGUAGGUGAGAGGAAGGUAGAAUUCCAGGUGUAGCGGUGAAAUGCGUAGAGAUCUGGAGGAAUACCGAUGGCGAAGGCAGCUUCCUGGCAUCAUACUGACACUGAGGCUCGAAAGCGUGGGUAGCAAACAGG
rnacentral:rRNA from 1 species